CUACGGGGGGCUGCAGUGAGGAAUUUUGCGCAAUGGGGGAAACCCUGACGCAGCAACGCCGCGUGAGCGAAGAAGGCCUUCGGGUCGUAAAGCUCUGUCAAGUGGGAAAAAAAUUCUUUGAUGAACAGUCAAAGGACUUGAUGGUACCACUGGAGGAAGCACCGGCUAAGUCCGUGCCAGCAGCCGCGGUAAUACGGAGGGUGCAAGCGUUGUUCGGAAUUACUGGGCGUAAAGAGCGUGUAGGCGGUUUGACAAGUCAGAUGUGAAAGCCCCGGGCUCAACCCGGGAAGUGCAUUUGAAACUGUUUCACUAGAGUAUGGGAGAGGAGAUUGGAAUUCCUGGUGUAGAGGUGAAAUUCGUAGAUAUCAGGAGGAACACCCGUGGCGAAGGCGAUUCUCUGGACCAAUACUGACGCUGAGACGCGAAAGCGUGGGGAGCAAACAGGAUUAGAUACCCUUGUAGUC
rnacentral:rRNA from 1 species